UACAGAGGGUGCGAGCGUUAAUCGGAAUUACUGGGCGUAAAGCGCGCGCAGGCGGCUUUGCAAGUCGGGUGUGAAAUCCCCAGGCUUAACCUGGGAACUGCAUUCGAGACUGCAUUGCUAGAGUGUGGGAGAGGGAAGUGGAAUUUCCGGUGUAGCGGUGAAAUGCGUAGAUAUCGGAAGGAACAUCAGUGGCGAAAGCGACUUCCUGGACCAAUACUGACGCUCAUGUGCGAAAGCGUGGGGAGCAAACGGG
rnacentral:rRNA from 1 species